rnacentral:lncRNA from 1 species
GGGAGAUGGAGGGCUUGGAGUACAGAGAGCUGAAGCGGUCUACAAAGGUGGUGACAGCAGAUUUCAGGGAAUGGCAUCAUGGUGGGGUUGUCACUGUGCUCAAGAGAAGGAAGUUUGAGAAUAAGUGGACAUCAGUAUCUUAAAGAGACCACAUGAAAGAAAAGUGAAGCAAGGUCCCCUGACUAGAUGUCAGUGGUGAUGUCAGCUGACCAGGCCAGCAAGGCUGGGGUACACAGCUCCCUGUAAUCCCAGCAUUCAGGAGGUAGAGGCCAGAUGAGCACAAGUUCCAAGCUAGCCUUGGCUACAUGGAGGACUCUUUCAUGCUGGAAACUAAGCAGCGGUGAACUUCUGCUCUUCUUGUUCUACACAGCCUUGUCGGAUGAGUUCACCGAAGCCCUUCCGUUUAUCUACCUCACCACCUACACCUUGCAACCAAUAGCACUGGAGUCUUGCUACCAUCUCAGGACCUUUGGUGGCUGUGGAGGUUUAAAUGACGGUUCCCUUCAAAUUCACAUUAAUCAUCACAGUCUGGAUGGUGGGAUGUAACCUAGUGUACCACUGUAGAAAUCAGUAUGGAGAAUCCUCAGAAUUUUUGCCUCUGUAAUCUCCAAGACGUCAUAGAACACUGAAAACAGCAGCAGCCAUGUGCAGGAACCACUUUGUCCUAGAAAAAUUGAGUAUCCACAGAGGCUAUUUUAAAGGAGGAUUUGAAGACUACAUUCUUAUAAUUAGUGCUUUUCGUGUAAUUAGCAGCCACAUUCAUUGUAAGGCGAUUGUGAUGGUUUGUAUGUGCUUGGCUCAGGGAGUGGCACUGUUAGGAGGUGUGGCCUGGUUGGAACAGGUGUGUCACUGUGGGUGUGCUCUUAAGACCCUCGCCCUAGCUGCCUAGAAGUCAGUAUUCUACUAGCAGUCUUCAGAUGAAGGUGUAGAACUCUCCCCCUGCGCCAGGCCUGCCAGGAUGCUGCUGUGCUCUGGCCUUGAUAAUGGACUGAACCUCUGAACCUGUAAGCCAGCCCCAAUUAAAUGCUGUCCUUAUAAGAGUUGCCUUGGUCAUGGUGUCUGUUCCCAGCAGUAAAACCCUAACUAAGACAGCGAUCUACCAGAGGGAGCAGCUGGUCAUGUGAAGCCAGAGAUGAGGAGCUGCUGUCCCAAGGUCCCGCUGAUUGGUCACAAUUCUUGCAGAACCUUUGCCCUGUAAGAUUUUAUUUCAGUUUUCCUUAACAGUUAUUGAGCAAUCCUUCUAGUAACUUAACUAAAAAGAAACUUAAGCUGCACACACUACUUCUGCUUUAUAACUUCCUGAUUGUACGCAUAUGUGACACAGGUCCCCCUCUGUAGACUGGCCUUGAGCUUUUGGUUCUCUUUGCCCCAAGAGCUGGGAAUAUGGGUGGGUAACACUCCAAGUCCUCUUUUUUUUCUCCCCUUGCAACAUUUUAUUUAGCAUUGUUUUAAUUAAGUAAUGGAACCAUUUUAAAUGGGAUUUUUAACUCACUUUUUAUUAAUUAUUAGUGAAUUUCACAUCAUAUACCCCAAUCCCACUCAUCUCCCUAUCCCUCCAUAUCUGCCCUCUGCCCUUCAAACCUCCCCUCAAAAGAAAACAAAAAAUAAAAAUACAAAAUUAAUUAAAGAACAAAAGACGCAUCUUGCUGCAGAAGCUGCAGUGUGUCGCUGUGUAUCACACAGUGUACCCUUUUGUCCAGCUUUACUUGACAAAUGUUCACUUCGUGAAUCAUUGAUCUGGUUCCAGGCCUCUGGCUUCUG